ACAGGCAAUACCUUAGUCUUAUCCCUAUUCUCUGCGACUACUGCGUCUAGCGCCUGCGGCUCGUUUUUCCUUUGCGCACUGCGCUCUCUUUUAUCUGUGCUUCACCACGAUCGAAUCAUGGCGCAGCGGGCGAUGCUGGCCGCCGUCGUUGGCGUGCUGGUUCUCUGCGUGUACGUUGUCCAGGCGGAGAUCUUCUUCCACGAGGAGUUCAACACCAUGGAUGGGUGGGUGCAGUCGGAGCAUACGAGCGACUACGGCAAGGUCGCGCUCUCGGUGGGUGCGAUUCACGUGGAUGCUGAGAAGGAGCAGGGCCUGAAGCUCAUGGAGGACGCCAAGUUCUACGCUGUCUCGAAGAAGCUGCCGAAAGCAGUUUCGAACGACGGCAAGUCGAUCGUUGUCUCCUUCUCCGUCAAGAACGAGCAAAAGCUUACGUGCGGCGGCACCUACCUCAAGUUCUUUUCCGAGCUGGACCAGAAGGACUUACACGGCGAGUCUGCGUACUGGCUGAUGUUCGGCCCCGACACCUGUGGCUCCAGCACCCGUCUGCAGUUCAUCUUGAGCUACAACGGCACGAACCACCUCUGGAAGAAGUUGUGGAGGCCAAAGACCGACAAGGCCACUCACGUCUACACGGUCGAGAUCGCGCCAAACAAUACGUACCAGCUGUACGUCGAUGGCAUGCACAUCCAGGAAGGGUCGUUUGAGGAGGAGUGGGACAUGCUACCGCCAAAGACCAUCCCUGACCCGACGGAUGAGAAGCCGGCGGACUGGGUGGAUGACAUGAUGAUGGACGAUCCGUCUGACACGAAGCCGGAGCACUGGGACGACGAGCCGGCCACCAUCACCGACUCUGAGGCUGUCAAGCCGGUGGACUGGGACGAUGCGGAAGACGGCGUGUGGGAGGCCCCGAAGAUUCCGAACCCGAACUACCGCGGUGCGUGGACGCCGCGCCGCAUCCAUAACCCCGACUACAAGGGCAAGUGGGCAGCGAGGCAGAUCCCGAACCCGGCUUACAAGGAGGACCCGAACCUGUACAGGGCGCCGGCGCCGCUGCAGUACGUCGGCAUCGAUGUCUGGCAGGUGGAGGGCGGCAGCAUCUUCGAUGACAUAAUCAUCGGUGACGACAUUACGGAGGUGUUGGGUGUGGUGAAGAGCACGUACGGCGCCAUGGCAGAGAAGGAGAGAGAUCUCAUCCAGGCGGAGGAGAAGAAGGAGGCCACGAAAGAGCCGGCGGAGGCGGCAGCCGAGAAGCCGAAUGUGGGCGAGCACGCUGACCACACGCCAGACGAAGGCGACAGCGAGGAUAAGGAGGACCUGUAGUUUGUGCGUGUGCAGCACGCGCGUGAGCGAGGAAGCGCUGUGGCGGUGAGUUGCGUACGCGUAUGUGUGUGUGCGCUCGUCCUGCUCCCUCUCCCUCGCCCUCGUCCUCGUCCUUUUCGACGCUUCAGAGCACUCUCGCCAACAUAUUAUAGCAACAUGGAAUAGUGGAACGAGCAGAAUUAGCAGGGCAAGCCCGAAGGUGCGCUGUCGUCUCAUGGGGUUCAUUUUGGCAUGAACGAAUCAGCCCAGUCAUCAGUGACGACACUUGCACAUAAAACGAAAGCGAACGUGGGGUGACAGCCCGCCGUGGAGGAUUGGUCUGGACGGCGUACGUGUGCGUUCGGGUGUCCUGCACGAGGAUACUUGUAUGCGUGAUGUGGCAAUCGUUGGGCUGUGUGCUCUCUGUCGCGUCUUUUUUUUUGUCGUUCCCGCAUCUCUAUCUUUCCUUCCUUCGUGCCCUUCCCGAGUGUAUGCUUCACUGAGUGCGUGAGGACCGUGUGCGCAG
rnacentral:misc_RNA from 1 species